UACGUAGGGGCCAAGCGUUGUCCGGAUUUAUUGGGCGUAAAGAGCUCGUAGGCGGUUGGGUAAGUCGGGUGUGAAAACUCCAGGCUCAACUUGGAGAUGCCACCCGAUACUGCUCUGACUUGAGUUCGGUAGGGGAGUGGGGAAUUCCUGGUGUAACGGUGAAAUGCGCAGAUAUCAGGAGGAACACCGGUGGCGAAGGCGCCACUCUGGGCCGAAACUGACGCUGAGGAGCGAAAGCGUGGGUAGCAAACAGG
rnacentral:rRNA from 1 species